rfam:Hordeum vulgare subsp. vulgare, WGS project CAJW01000000 data, contig: morex_contig_37665
AGUUACUCCGAAUAGCCAAGGAGGACAUGCCUAUACAUACUUCGAAUAGCUCUAUUUUUUCCUUCUUCGACAAGGAAAAACAGAGCUAUAGCAAAGUCAGAUGAGAUGUACACGUAUAUGCAUGUGGUGUAGGCAAGUCAUCCUUGGCUACCGAAUCAGCUCU